CCUACGGGGGGCUGCAGUGAGGAAUAUUGGUCAAUGGCCGAGAGGCUGAACCAGCCAAGUCGCGUGAGGGAAGACGGCCCUACGGGUUGUAAACCUCUUUUGUCGGGGAGCAAAGCGAACCACGUGUGGUUCAUUGAGAGUACCCGAAGAAAAAGCAUCGGCUAACUCCGUGCCAGCAGCCGCGGUAAUACAUAGGGGGCAAGCGUUAUCCGGAAUUAUUGGGUGUAAAGGGUGCGUAGACGGAAGAACAAGUUGGUUGUGAAAUCCCUCGGCUCAACUGAGGAACUGCAACCAAAACUAUUCUCCUUGAGUGUCGGAGAGGAAAGUGGAAUUCCUAGUGUAGCGAUGAAAUGCGUAGAUAUUAGGAGGAACACCAGUGGCGAAGGCGACUUUCUGGACGAUAACUGACGUUGAGGCACGAAAGUGUGGGGAGCAAACAGGAUUAGAUACCCGUGUAGUC
rnacentral:rRNA from 1 species